GAUGAACGCUGGCGGCGUGCCUAGUACAUGCAAGUCGAGCGAACGGACGAGAAGCUUGCUUCUCUGAUGUUAGCGGCGGACGGGUGAGUAACACGUGGAUAACCUACCUAUAAGACUGGGAUAACUUCGGGAAACCGGAGCUAAUACCGGAUAAUAUUUUGAACCGCAUGGUUCAAAAGUGAAAGACGGUCUUGCUGUCACUUAUAGAUGGAUCCGCGCUGCAUUAGCUAGUUGGUAAGGUAACGGCUUACCAAGGCAACGAUGCAUAGCCGACCUGAGAGGGUGAUCGGCCACACUGGAACAGAGACACGGUCCAGACUCCUACGGUAGGCAGCAGUAGGGAAUCUUCCGCAAUGGGCGAAAGCCUGACGGAGCAACGCCGCGUGAGUGAUGAAGGUCUUCGGAUCGUAAAACUCUGUUAUUAGGGAAGAACAUAUGUGUAAGUAACUGUGCACAUCUUGACGGUACCUAAUCAGAAAGCCACGGCUAACUACGUG
rnacentral:rRNA from 1 species